UGAGUAACGCGUGAGAACCUGCCUUUCAGUGGGGGACAACAGUUGGAAACGACUGCUAAUACCGCAUAAUGUUAUUUGGGGGCAUCCCCGAAUAACCAAAGCUUUAUGUGCUGAAAGAUGGUCUCGCGUCUGAUUAGCUAGAUGGCGGGUAACGGCCCACCAUGGCGACGAUCAGUAGCCGGUCUGAGAGGAUGAACGGCCACAUUGGGACUGAGAUACGGCCCAGACUCCUACGGGAGGCAGCAGUGGGGAAUAUUGGGCAAUGGGGGAAACCCUGACCCAGCAACGCCGCGUGAAGGAAGAAGGCCUUCGGGUUGUAAACUUCUUUUACCAGGGACGAAGAACGUGACGGUACCUGGAGAAAAAGCAACGGCUAACUACGUG
rnacentral:rRNA from 1 species